GGCCAGCCUCGUUCCCACCCUGCAGCGAACAUAUAAAGCUGGCGCGCGCGCGCCCCGCCCCCUUUUUCCCCGCGGAGCGCCUGGUGAGGCGGUACACGGUGUGAUGGAGAGGAGGUUUUCAACGGUGUCAAGUACAUUGCACAUUAAGGUAACAGCUCUGGAAUUUUUAAUGUUGCUCUAGAAGUAACUGCAUU
rnacentral:lncRNA from 1 species